CCUACGGGCGGCUGCAGUGGGGAAUUUUGGACAAUGGGGGCAACCCUGAUCCAGCAAUGCCGCGUGCAGGAAGAAGGCCUUCGGGUUGUAAACUGCUUUUGUACGGAACGAAACGGCUCUGGUUAAUACCCGGAGCUAAUGACGGUACCGUAAGAAUAAGCACCGGCUAACUACGUGCCAGCAGCCGCGGUAAUACGUAGGGUGCGAGCGUUAAUCGGAAUUACUGGGCGUAAAGCGUGCGCAGGCGGUGCUGUAAGACAGGCGUGAAAUCCCCGGGCUUAACCUGGGAAUGGCGCUUGUGACUGCAGUGCUGGAGUGCGGCAGAGGGGGAUGGAAUUCCGCGUGUAGCAGUGAAAUGCGUAGAUAUGCGGAGGAACACCGAUGGCGAAGGCAAUCCCCUGGGCCUGCACUGACGCUCAUGCACGAAAGCGUGGGGAGCAAACAGGAUUAGAUACCCCAGUAGUC
rnacentral:rRNA from 1 species